UUAUACCACAUUUUGUUUAAUCAUCAUCAGUUGGUGGACAUUUGGGUUGUUUCUGUCUUUUUGGCUAUUUCAGUAAUGCUGCUGUGAACAUUUAUGUACAGGUUUUUGGAUGGAUGUGUAUUUUCAUUUUUCAUGGGUAUAUGCUGAGGAGUGAAAUUCCUGGAUCAUAUGGUAAUUAUCAUUGUGUAGUGGUUGCACUAUUUUACAUUCACACCAGUAGUGAUAAUUGGGGUUUCUUAAAGUAAUGAAUCAUUCUUUAAUACAUUUCUUUUCUUUUUUUGAGACAGAUUUUCGCUCUUGUUGCCCAAGCUGGAGUGCAAUGGUGCAAUCUUGGCUCACUGCAACCUCUGCCUCCUGGGUUCAAGCAAUUCUCUUGCCUCAGCCUCCUGAGUAGCUGGGAUUAUAGGCGCAUACCACCACCUCCAGCUAAUUUUUGUAUUUUUAGUAGAGAUGGGGUUUCACCAUGUUGGCCAGGCUGGUCUCGAACUCCUGACCUCAGGUGAUCCACCUCCCUCAGCCUCCCAAAGUGCUGGGAUUACAGGCAUGAGCCACCGCACCUGGCUUCAUUCUUUAAUAUAUUUCUGAUAACUAAAUUUUUAUAAGUGAUUUUUCUUUUUAAAGUAUUGUAUAUGUUAUCCCACUUUGUUUUUAUGUAGAGAAUAUGUCUGUCCAUAAAAUUUGGUGGAAGACAAGUUUCAUUCCUCAUUUUUUUUUUUUUUUUUUUGAGACAGAGUUUCACUCUUGUUGCCCAAGCUGGAGUGCAAUGGCACGAUCUCGGCUCACUGCAACCUCUGCC
rnacentral:lncRNA from 10 species